ensembl:lncRNA
UGGGUGGAUAGGUUCUGGUUGUGUGAUUCUAGAGCCAAAUAUAAAGAGCCAAAGGGCUUCUAGAUGAAAAUCAGCUCUGCUAGACUUAUGUUAUAUAUAUACUUAAAUUUUGUGACAACAUUUUUGACAGGUCAAAUACAGAUUGUAAUGACUGGAAAUUUACCAGUUUUGUUUUCAACUUCUUGAGCUUCCUAGGAGACCAGUUAUAUAGAACAACUAAAAGAGCAUCUCAAUUUCUAGAUGACCUCACGUUGGUGGUAGAGUCAAAAAGCCCUUCUAGAAGAGUCGGGCGGUUUCUUAACCCUGGCUGCCCAUUAGAAACACUUGGAAGCUUUUAACAAUUAUGAUGUUCUAGCCCCACCUGAACCCAAUUAAUAUAGAACACUGGGGAGUGGGGCCAGGGCAAAGGGCCCAGGGCAGUUUUAUAAGUGCCCUGGGUGAUUCUAAUUUUCAAUUAGGGUUAAAAAAAGCUAACACUGGGGUAUAACCUUUUGCUUUAACCCUUCAUCUUUUGAUCAGACUCAGAAGUGACAAUGUUAGAACAAAGAUGCUAACAGCUAACAUUUCAAAUCAAACCUUAGGCAUCAUUUAAAGCCAACGCAUCCUUAAAGACCCCAAGGGAAGGAGUAAAGAUGGAAAGAGCAAAGAUAUAUGGCUGGAGGGAUGAAAGAUCUUCUCUCCAGCAAGGCCCAACACAGCUGGCUGCCAGGUUCCAGGCAGCGGCACAGACGCACAGAUGCAGAAGGCACUUGGAGCCACAGGAAGCUUACAGUCGGGUCCUUGACCGGGUCUUCCUGUCGUCCUGCGCUCAGAUCCUUCACUGUCCUACUGCAGUUUUACAACCUAGCAGAAGGAAGUUCUUGAAAGCAUCGCUCUUUGUCCUCAGAGAGAUGAGUGAUCCUCAUCCUCAGGCAUCCUGUCUGAUGCUGACAAGCACUUGAUGACAAUGAGGAAAGCCAGCCUGAGCGGGAUGCUGAGACAUGAAGAGAAGACUAGGUAACAGAAUCUCAGAAUGAAGCUGAAGAGAAACUUCAGUUGCUUACUUUGAGAUAUAAUUGUUUUUUACUGACUGCUAAGUGAGAGAUUUUAUCUCUAACUAAGAGUUUGAGGAUGGAAGAAACUUCCUCUGCUAGCUUACUUUCAGUCUGGGCCAGAUAUCAAAACUCAUAUUUGGGAGAAAGUUAUUUUUUUGUCUCCAACUCAAGAAGAACAGGAGCUGAUGCCUGAUUUGUUCUCUGAUGCAUGCUAAAUAUCUAGACAAUUGCUUGGCAUAUAAUAGUCACUUAAAGUUUUUGUUGAAAAUAAGUAAAAUUAUAUUUAGUGUUUAUGUUGCUCUAUUUGCUGGAUCUGUAGUAUUCCAUAAACCAGAAUUUAUUUAUUCAUUUUCCCAUUUUGCAGCGUUUAAGUUCAUUCCAGUUUUUGCUAUUAUAAUUAAUGCUACUAUGAACAUCUUUGUACAUGUAUCCUUGAACAACCAGAUGAAACAUUUAAGCAACUGUUACAUAAAUAAAGCACAUACUCUACACUGAGAAGAUUACAGGAAAUGUGAAGAACUGUUAAUACAACGGAUUAAUGGAGCUUGAUAGAAGCUUAGGAAAUCUUCUCCACAGCCCCUGCCUUUGGGCAGCACACAUCUAAACCAUCUACAAUGGUUCACGGUCUGUGCUUCUCCACAGCCUCCCAGUGUGCAGACACCAGAACCUACUCUGGGACUUUCACACCACGACUGCCCAGAAGUUUUCCAGUCACUCAAGAGAAAUCUGUUAGGUAUUAACAGAAUUUUAACCCAUUCUUUCUCGGUUUUGAAUUUUUAAGCCUACAAAAGAACACAUACACACACGUGCACACAGUUGUUCAGUGUGAUUUAUUAGGAAAUAUUGAACAUUUCCAAAAGAGAAUUAAUUAUCGAGCUAACUAGGAUACUUUUAGACAAUUGGAUGGUAGAAUUGGAGAUUUUUGUCCCAUGCUUAAUGUCUUAAUAUCAUGAACUGUCUCUUUAAACAUCCUGAAACUGGCCUUGUUUGAAUUAUUUACAGUCUUUGAACAGCACAAUCUUUGUAGAUAUUCUUAAUACUCUUUGGUGGAUCUUUCUUUAGCAUCUUAUUGGAAAUAAAGCAUUUCACUUACUUCUGUUAAGAAAAUAUCAUUGCAAUCAGCUGUAGAAAAAAAUUUUUUUGCACAUAUACUAUUCUUUCAUAAAGUUCCAUAAGAUUAGUUGUAGUCCUUUGGUUUUUCCAGCUUAUUGAACCAAAAUCAUAGCUUCUAUUUCUAACCUGAGAAAUAUGCAUUCUCGGUAAGAUUAUUUCUCUGGCAAAAAUGCAAUGGGCAACCAAGAGAUUCCCUGUGCAACUGUCACCUCUGCUUUGGAAAUCCGGGUACUGUGCUUCUAAUCUGUGAAAGGGGCUGGGCUUGUUCAUCCCGCAGCAGAUCUGCUACCCUAAAAUGAGAUAAUAGUAGCCUGAAAUGUACGUUUUGUUUUCCACUAACUAUUUAUUUUCCCCUUUUUAAAG